CGCUGGUAGCCAGCCGCACCAGUGCCUGCCUCGCCGACGCCGCACGACCUGGCCGGUACCCAGGAGUCGUGAACUUGAUGGUGAACUGCCAGUCGACAGCUGAGUUCGAGGCUGCGAGCGUUUCUGCGAUAUUGAGACAUCAAGAUGUGAACCCCUAGCUACAAAUGGGAAUGAAUCUGAGAUUGAAGCGGAGAUACAUUCUUUGCUGAUACUCUAUCCAUCCGUGUUUCUUUCCACGCUGAUGCUCUCAGAUCCGAUCCUUCCAAUGAAGAAAUGACAUCUUCAUGAGGAUGAGCAGACUUGCUAUUUGAUUUCUGGAUGACCGUGAGACUGAGACUUAUGCAUUGCAAUGCAUUGGAGUGUGAGCUGUUGUAAGAGUUAAUGUUUGCUUAUUUGCUUUAAAUUGUAAACGAUUACCUGUGAGAUGUUGGCAUUCUCUGCUGCUACCGUAAGGUGUUGUGCACUUGUGCUAGUGCUGCCAUUAUACUGGUAUUGCCAUGUAGCGCUGCCAAUUGAGCUUGUUUAUUUUUGUGCUGCAGAUUGUAAAGUAAAAUGCCUGAAAUGAUCACUGUGUUGUGCUUCCA